rnacentral:lncRNA from 1 species
UGGUUGCAGUAGCGAUAGAGAGGGAGCUAGAAAUCCAUGUCAGCGAAGGUGGCAUUGGAGUCAACCAUCUAGGUCCAUUUUGACUUGGCCAAUAAUAUCACAACUUAAAAAAUAAUUUUUAUAUAUUUAUUUAUACAAUAAUAUUUUGGAGAAUCUACUAAAUUUAAAUUUCUAAUUAUGUGGUUUCAAAUUUUAAAUUUAAAAAAAUUAAAGAUCAACUACAGCGAUGCUCC